GCCCGUCGCACCCACUCCGCGUGGACUGUGCGACCAGCAUCUACUUGGAUCCAAGGCGAGCGUGCGAUGCGGUGAAUACUAUAAGCAUUAAACCAUGGUGCAUGAUUUGAGCUCAAUAUAUAUCAACAUCAUCAUAACAAUAUUUAAAUACUCACCUGAUACUCACCUGUGCGUCCGUCGCACCAAUUCAUACAUAUGCAUCAUAUAUCAAUUCAUAUCCUUUCAUGCAUGGCAAUUCGAUUCACGUUUUUCAUAUAAUUCUAUAUACUUUUCGCAUACUUCUAUGCAUGGCAUUUCAACUAAUAUAUCUCAUAUACUUUUAUACAUUUUCAUUUAAAGCAUAAUUUCAUGCAUUUUCAAUUUCUGGGAAAACGGCAAGUAUAAAUGUAUACGGAAAACAAAACUGCCCACUCACAGAAUACAUCGACGUGUCGAAGGUCCCUGAGCCUCCUUUAGCCAUGCCCAACGUCCGUAUAAUCCUCGCCUAUACGAGAAGUAACCAAAAUGACGUUAUUUAACGCAUAAUCCCACUCUUAGCUAAUAACUCCUCAUAUAUUGCUCAAAUUGGGUAUAUGAAUAUACCACUGUGACCUAAACAACCUCAGGAUCAUCCCCAUAUUUUUAAAAUAAUUUUUGGAGGUCCCACGCGCCCCCACGCGCCUGACGUGGCACGGACCUACGCGCCCCCACGCGCGGCCACGUGUCGUGCACACUGACGGCACAGUAAACGGCAGUUAGGGAAUAUUCCGUUAAAUCCUAGCAUAUUCCUUUAAUAAUUAACGGCGUCAGUCAACGCCGUUAGCAUAUUCCGUCAAAACUGACGGAAUAUUCCCUGUCUUCUCCGGCAAUUCGCCGGUCGCCGGCGACUGUUCGUCGGUUUCUGGAAAAAUUUCAAACUUGCUAUUCUCCUUCGUUUUUCAUCCAUUUUUCACGUAGUAUACCAAAUUGAAGCCCUAAACAUCUACUAUCACGUUGGACUAGUUUUAGGGUCUAAAAACAACGAGAUCAUACCUUUCCAAUAAUUCCAAAAUCCGGCCAAACUCGAACCAAGUGAUCCCGACGUCCAUUUUGUUCAAACGAGGCACUCCGAGCCUCCUCGUGACCUCCUUAAGCUCACUGUGAGCUUGUUUUAGCCUAAAACGUAGUCAUUUAAAAGAUCAUGAACAGUACAUAAACACGGGACCUUUGAAACUAGGGUUUUCCGAAGCAAAACUUACCUGAAAUGGAUACCAUCGUGAUCGUGGAGGUUCCAGGAGUUUGAUGGUGGUCUUAACUCCGUCGUUGGUGGAAGUUUAAGGUGGUUUUGUGGUGGUCCGUGUGAGUUCGAAGGAGAGGGAGAGAAAACUGAGAGUUUCGUGAGGGAGGAGAGAGAGAGAGACAAUGUUAGACUAUGGAUGAGUCUCCUCAAAAUAUUCAGGUAAGUAAGUUAACCUGAAAGUAGCCAGGAAUGACAAAAGAGACUAACAAAUGGAUAUGCCACUAAUCGAGUGUGUAAGGUAAAUGGUUUGAUAUUUUUGGAAAUUCACCACGAACAGAAAUGGCGAGAAUUGGAAAGGACAAGAUAAGAUUUAGACACAUCAGACCAUUUUUGAUCACUAAAGGAAUCAAUAAAGUUGCAUACAAGUGGUGAUGUCUUCAGAGUUGGCUAAGGUAUUUAAUGUAUUUUGGGUUCGAUACGUUGUCACUAGGUGGCAGAUUCGUCACAAGAGAUUCUGGUGCAACUAUUGAGAAUUAAAUUGGAUUCGACUUGAUAAGGAACCAAGGACGACUUUGGAUUGGAAAAAGAAGGUCCUGAGAAUUAAGACAGAGUAAGUAGUAAAAGCUUUGUGAAGGAAUCAUUCAGUAGAAAAUUAUGUGGGAGAAAGAGAAUCGGAUGAGACAGAUUUACCCGAAGCUAUUGUUGGAGUAUGGUUGAUUUAGUUGGUUGCUGGAAUUUCGGGGACGAAAUUCUAUAAGGAGGGAAGAUUGUCACAGCCCGUCCCGGAAUUUUAAUUCCGAGGACGUGAAAAGACGAAAAUGCCCUUAAACGGGACUAAGGGGCGAAAAUUUAACAAUUGGGAUUGAGUUGGACACGUGGGAUCCCCACACCCCUCAAUCCUCUCCCUAUUUUCUGCAUGCUGUCUCUCUCUCUCUUCCCUCACGACUCUCUCACUCUCUCUGUCACUCUUCUUCUCCGUUCGAACAAAACAACCUUAAACUUCCACCAACGACGGAGUUAAGACCACCAUCAAACUCCUGGAACCUCCACGAUCACGAUGGUAUCCAUUUCAGGUAAGUUUUGCUUCGGAAAACCCUAGUUUCAAAGUUCCCGUGAAAUGGUACUGUUCAUGAUCUUCUAAAUGACUACGUUUUAGGCUAAAAGAAGAUCACAGCGAGCUUAGUGAGGUCCCAAGGAAGCUCGGAGUGCUUCGUUGGAAGUUUUUGGACGUAAGAACACGGAGAUCGACAAGUUCAAAGUUUGGCCGGAGCUUUCGAGGCAUUUUCCGACGAAUACCCGGUGAUUUAGGAGUCGAGGUAGGUAUCAAUCUCUUCGUCUCGUCAAGUACUACAACUUUCCUUUUUGUUUCACUCAAUUUCGUUGAGUAUUGAAGAAGUUAUACUCAUUUGAAAAAUACCCAGUUUCCGGCGACCUCCGAGGCUUUCGAGGCAGUUUCCGGCAAAACCACGGCGAACUAGGUGUUGUGCAAGGUACCAUUCUCUUUUUCUCUUCAAGGGCUACCACUUUCGUUUUUGAAUCACUUGAUUUCGUUGAGAAAUAACAAAGUUAUGCAAUUUGAAAAACGGCCGCCGGAAAAACCAGUCCGGCGACCCAAGGAAGAAGAAGGUGCGCGUGGACCCGUGCCUUCCUUGGCGCGUGGAGGCGCGUGCUACAGUAAAAAAUUAUUUUAAAAAUAUGUCGACGUCCGUGACGUCGAGUAGAUCACUAUGGUAUAUUCAUAUACCCAAAUUGAGCACCGUAUGAGAAAGUUAUUAAGGAUUGUUGGUUAGGUGUUCGAAUAACGUUUUAUAGUUUUCGCAUUAGGUGAAAAUGUGAAUUGAUGAUCCGACCGUUGGAUGGUAGUGAAAUUUUAGGAUGUUAUCCUAGAGAUAUAUUGUGGACCUCUGGAAGUUAUGGAUUUAAAAUCUGAGUGGCAGAUCUUCCGGAUCGAUCAACGUAGUGACGUAUUUUAUAUAAGUUAUACAUUCUAUCGAUAUGAAUUCUGAGGUUGGAUUUGAUUACUGUUCUAGGCGGCGAUCGUCAUGACGCCUUGGCGUAUUGUGCUAGGGAGUUGUAGGGCGAACUCCAGGUGAGUGGGCAGUUUUGUUUUCCGUAUACAUAUAUACUUGCCGUUUCCCAGAAAUUACCAUGCAUGAAAUUAUGCUUUAAAUGAAAAUGUAUAAAAUUAUAUGAAAAGUAUAUUGAAAUGUGAAUUGAGAUGCCAUGCAUAAAAGUAUAUGAAAAGUAUAUAGAAAUGUGAAUCGAAUUGCCAUUCAUGAAAUGAUAUGAAAAGUAUGAAUUGAGAUAUGAUGCAUAUGAAUGAAUGGUGCGGCGGACGCACAGGUGAGUAUCAGGUGAGUAUUUAAUUACUGUUAUGAUGAUGUUGAUGUAUAUUGAGCUCAAAUCCUGCACCAUGGUUUAGUGCUUAUAGUAUUCACCGCAUCGCACGCUCGCCUUGGAUCCAAGUAGAUGCUGGUCGCACAGUCCACGCGGAGUGGGUGCGACGGGCCAGUCGUAGAGUGUUAGUGAGAUUUCGACUGGUGGGUGACCUUAGAUUAUGUGCACAGAUGAUUGAUGAGAAAGCACUAGAGCGUAAUAUUAACCAUUAAGUCGUACAGACUACAUUAGGUGGUUCCGACUUAUGUGCAGAAGGCCGUACAGGUCACAGAGGUGACUCCGGCAGAGUGAGAGUGAUAGAUUUUGAGCUCUAGGUUCAACCGUACAGGGCUACUAGAGGGCCUCCGGUUGAUUACUUUCUUGCACCUGAUAUGAUUAUUGUUGAUGCAUCCAUACUUAACUGUUGAAUUAGACAUGGCAUGGCAUGAUUGAUAAAGAAAAAUGUUGAGAUAGUAAAAAUGAAGUUUUGAGAAUAUAUAUGUAUAUUUAUAUUUUACAUUUCUGGGAAAGUAUACAAGUUUUACGGAGAGGGGUUACAACGUUUUGAGAAAUGUUUGGAUUUGGAAAAGAAUUGUUUUACUGACCCACUCAAUUUUGGUUUUGUGCCCCUCCAGGUUCAGGAAUCACAAAGGUGUGGUGACUACGAGGAAUUCGACGGUGUUCUGACAGAAUGGACAAAAUUAGGACUCACCUUCGGGUGUAUCAACUUAUAAAUUGUAUAAUUAAAGCUUCCGUACUGUGCAAAUGGUUACGUCACUCUCACGUGACGGCCAGCAUGCCCUCCUUCAGGACGGGGUGUGUCAGUUGGUAUCACUGACACACCCCGUCCCGAAGGAGGGCAUGCUGGCCGUCACGUGAGAGUGACGUAACCAUUUGCACAGUACGGAAGCUUUAAUUAUACAAUUUAUAAGUUGAUACACCCGAAGGUGAGUCCUAAUUUUGUGAAUUCUGUCAGAAUACCGUUGGAUUCCUCGUGGCCACCAAAACUCUGCUAUCAAGAACCUGGAGGGGCGAAAAACAAAAUUGAGUGGGUCAGUAAAACAAAUCUUUUCCAAAUCCAAACAUUUCCCAAAACGUUGUAACCCCUCUCCGUAAAACUUGUAUACUUUCCCAGAAAUGUAAAAUAUAAAUAUAUAUAUAUAUAUUCUCAAAACUUCAAAUCACUAUCUCAACAUUUUUCAUUACAAUUAUGCCAUGCCAUGUCUAAAUUCAACAGUAUAAUAUGAAUGCAUCAACAUAAAUCAGGUGAAAGAAAAUAAUCAACCGGAGACCCUACAAUGGUCCUGUACGGCUGAAUCUAGAGCUCAAAAUCUCGUCUAACCGGAGUCACCAACUGUGACCUGUACGGCCAUGCCGGAGUCACCUAGUAUGACCUGUACGACAUUACACUGCACAUAAGUCGGAACCACCUAAUGUAGUCUGUAUGACUUAAUGGUUAAUAUUACGCUCUAGUGCUUCUCUCAUCAAUCAUCUGUGCACAUAAUCUAAGGUCACCUACCAGUCGGAACCCCUCUAAUGGUCUGUACGACUGGCAUGUCGGAACCACCCAGUGGUUUGUACGACUAGCAUCUACUUGGAUCCAAGGUGAGCGUGCGAUGCAGGGUGAAUAAUAUAAGCACUAAUACCAAGGUGCAGGUUAUGAGCUCAUCAUAUCUCAACAUCAUCAUAACAAUAAUAAAUACUCACCUGUGCGUCCACCGCACCAAUUCAUACAUAUGCAUCAUAUAUCAAUUCAUACUUUUCAUAUAAUUUCAUGCAUGGCAAUUCGAUUCACAUUUCAAUCUACUUUUCAUAUACUUUCAUGCAUGGCAUUUCAAAUCAUACUUUCAUUAAAUUUCAAUUUCUGGGAAAACGUCAAGUAUAUAUAUAUACGGAAAACAAA
rnacentral:lncRNA from 1 species